rnacentral:tRNA from 1 species
GGAGGGUAUAGCUCAGUGGUAGAGUGUGUGCCUAACAAGCACAAGGUCCUGGGUUCAAUCCCCAGUAUCUCCA